GAGUGAUUUCUACUUGCCAAGGUCUUGGCAAGUAAGAUGUAGAAAGUAAACAGAGACAGCCAGAGUGCACGCAUCAUAAGUCUCUGCUCCUCUUGGAGACCUCGGACACCAGCAUUAAGCACCGUCGUUGGCUGUGGGUCGGUUCUCACAGGGGGCUGAGUGUACUGUUCAUGGCUGGUACACUACUUCAGAAUAUGUUUUUGUUAUUGUUGCUGCUGCUGUAAUUUUAAAGUAGGAGUGGUUUUUUUUUUUGUUUUUUUUUUUUUUGUGGUGGUUGUGGUGGUGGGGCGUCUAUAUUUUGAACUUACCUUCUCUUGCAAAGAUUUCCUGCCAUAGAAUUUUCCUUGUCUAGUUUUAUUCUAGAUACACAUGGCGCCUCUUCCCCUCCGAGGAGGAAAAGCAUUCUGUAAUUCUUUCCUUUUGCUGGUUACAUUCACCAGUGUAGUGUUCAUAAUCUUCUUAACAAAUUAAUCAUGCUGUCUGUCCUUGUAAAGAAAAAAGGUCUACAUGUUCUAAACUGCAGUUGCCAUACUUCCUGAUGAGUGACAUUCUAGUUUGCCCUUAUUUCAGACUUUCAGGAUUAGUCCCCAGUGGUAUAACCUGUUAUACUGACCUUACAUUACUGGUGACAGUCAUUGAUCUAGUCACCCACUAUUCUGGCCUUGCUUCCCAUUCUCUUAAUCUAGGUCCUUCUGUGUUCCCUCUGAUGACAGCCUGUGGUGUCAUCAGGGUAGUUGGUGCUCAGUUUUUGUUUCUGAAUGUCAGCAGUUGGGUGAGCCGGCUUCCGCGAAGUACUAGAGGUGAUCCAUCUAUCUGAGAUCCACACUCCUAGGUAGUCCUUUGAGUUAAGACUCCCAGGCCAUUACUGGCUGGAGUAGAGGGUAAGAGAGUGGAAUGUGGAGCAGAUAAACUCUCCUGGAAAAGAGAAAGGGGAGUGGCUUUAAGUGCCUACUCCUGGGAGCCAUGAAGAGUUCAGCAGGGCAGUGGGGAGGAGCUGGGAAAGAAUAUCCCCUAAGAGGAGGCAAGGAAAGGGCGAGAACUAGAAUCUUGCUUCUUGAGUUUUACCUGGCCAGACCAUCAGUUGCUAUGGGAUUUUCCUAUUUCCAUUUAUGUCAAAGAGCUCCAUCAUUGAACCUGAGCCUCAGAUGUUAUCUACCCACGGAUCCACCAGAGUGACCAUCAUCGCAUGCUGACGCUGUAUGCUUUUGGUCAUUGUAAUGACAGUCUAGCCUCAGAACCAAAAGAUGCUUCUUUUAGAUGUAAGUGGGUCAAAUGAAAGGUUAGAAAGCAUAUGUGUGGACCAGAGAGACAAGAGUCUGUGGUCUACUGUGAGCUGUCUUUGGGCAAGGUGGGUAUGGUGACUGUGCUACAGAUUGGUGUAUCUACCAUUGGAAGCAAGAAGCGGCUGGUGGGGAAGAGGUUAGCUGAGUACCACUCUGAGUUUCUAUGAUAGCAUAUCUUUUGAUCGGGAGGAUGGGGACUUAAGACUACAUGCACUGUUCUCUAUGCCUCCUUAGGGCUAGUAAACCGUGGCUCCUGCAAGGCGAUGGCUGAGGUACCCAAUGCUGAUGGUUGAACAGAAAGUGAGGCGAAAGAGAGGUGCAUAAACCAAGAAGGGUUAGCCUGGGCUUCUAGUCCUAGAACCUUGAUUUUGGUUUCGCCUUCUUAACAAUUUGGCUAAGCUGAAGUGGUUAUGUGUUGUACCCCAAAGACAGCUUCAGAGGCUCUCAACAGGAAAUUAACCCUGUCUGGGCUGGUCCAGACAGAAGGUGUGGCUUUGCCUGUGGUGAAGGGAAGUGGGUGAUGUGCAAGACCCUCAUUUGAAGACCUGGGAGCCAUCUUAGUGACCCCGCACACAUCUCUAAGCUUCUCCCUGGUUCGAUUUCUUCAUUCUUUAACUGUAAGUAGACAUGAAGGCAAGUUCACAGUAGCUGGGAGUAACUCCCGAGGAAUGAUCGUAAAGUUCUUGGCACCCACGAGGGGCAGCGUGAAUACCAAAUAGUAAUUAUAUAGCGCCUUUCUGCCAAAGACUUCCAAACGCUGAGACAUUACCUCAUCGAUUGUCUUCACAGCCCUGGCAGAGAGGCACUGGGCAUUUUACAGGAAGGGAAACUGAGGCACGAGCACCUGAAAGCUAAUUUUCCCUGUGUCACGCUGCAAGUCAGCAGAUGAUUUAUGGUGCUGGGCAAGGAUCCCAGCCCUCUUCCUGUUCAGUUAUUCACCACAAGAAGCUCUCGAAUGUCUUUGUCACUGAAGUUAUGGAGGCUUCUAGCGUUGAGCCCAGCACAUUCCUAAUUACUGUCAAGAAGUGUGCACUGUGAGAAACCAGCUCUACUGUGCUGCCACCUCACCCAAUAGAAUAGAAGUCUGACGGAUAAGGGAACACACAGACACAUGCGAUUAUACAUGUAUGUAUCUCUGCGUGGAUUUAGUGGGCCCUGAAUUCACUCAGCAACAUUUCUGCAGUCUCUAAAAGCCUCACUUUUUGUGAGGUGAAGUUGACACAUUGUAGAAGUUAACCAACAAUAAUUGAAGUAAAGCUAUCACUUGAAAAUGCACUAACCUCCAAAUAAUGACACAAAUAGGAAGUGGCAAAAAUCCUUAGAGAAGAAACAUCAGAAGAAGGGGCUGGAGGGAUAGCUCAGUGGUUAAGAUCAUUGACUGCUCUUCUAAAGGUCAUGGGUUCAAUUCCCAGAGCAGCGCAUAACCAUCUGUAAGUCCAGUUCCAGGGGAGCCAAGACCCUCUUCGGGCCUCCUCAGACACUAGGCACGAAAGUUGUAUGUAGUAAUCUGUGCAGGCAUUAACACCUAUGCACAUAAAUUUAUAAAAUAAUUUUUGAACAGUCG
rnacentral:lncRNA from 1 species